rnacentral:rRNA from 1 species
AACGAACGCUGGCGGCAUGCCUAACACAUGCAAGUCGAACGAGACCUUCGGGUCUAGUGGCGCACGGGUGCGUAACGCGUGGGAACCUGCCCUUAGGUUCGGAAUAACUCCCCGAAAGGGGUGCUAAUACCGGAUAAUGUCUUCGGACCAAAGAUUUAUCGCCUUUGGAUGGGCCCGCGUUGGAUUAGCUAGUUGGUAGGGUAAAAGCCUACCAAGGCGACGAUCCAUAGCUGGUCUGAGAGGAGGAUCAGCCACACUGGGACUGAGACACGGCCCAGACUCCUACGGGAGGCAGGAGUGGGGAAUAUUGGACAAUGGGCGAAAGCCUGAUCCAGCAAUGCCGCGUGAGUGAUGAAGGCCUUGGGGUUGUAAAGCUCUUUUACCCGGGAUGAUAAUGACGGUACCGGGAGAAUAAGCUCCGGCUAACUCCGUG